CAGAGGUCCCAAGCGUUGUUCGGAUUCACUGGGCGUAAAGGGUGCGUAGGCGGUCGGGUAAGUCUGAUGUGAAAUCUCACAGCUUAACUGUGAAACUGCAUUGGAUACUAUCCGGCUCGAGGAAUGGAGGGGAGACUGGAAUACUUGGUGUAGCAGUGAAAUGCGUAGAUAUCAAGUGGAACACCAGUGGCGAAGGCGAGUCUCUGGACAUUUCCUGACGCUGAGGCACGAAAGCCAGGGGAGCAAACGGG
rnacentral:rRNA from 1 species